rnacentral:rRNA from 1 species
UACGUAGGGUGCGAGCGUUAAUCGGAAUUACUGGGCGUAAAGCGUGCGCAGGCGGUUUUGUAAGCCAGAUGUGAAAUCCCCGGGCUUAACCUGGGAAUGGCAUUUGGGACUGCAAGGCUUGAGUGCGGCAGAGGAGACUGGAAUUCCUGGUGUAGCGGUGAAAUGCGCAGAGUAUCAGGAGGAACACCAAUUGCGAAGGCAGCUCGCUGGGACGUUACUGACGCCUGGAGACGCGAAAGCGUGG